rnacentral:lncRNA from 1 species
CCCCCACCCUGUACAAGCCAUGUUCUCCUCCCUCUUCCCAAGUUCUUGUGUUGUCUACGAGCACAACCUCCGGCCUCGGUUGUGCCUCCGGUGCGUGAACGGCUAACCGAGCAUCAACGUCCAUGCCCGACUCGGACGCCACCCUCUGUACCGACGGCGGCGACAAGUUGGCCCAGGCGAAGGUGGCGACGCGGUCGGGAAAGUUGAAGCCGCCGCGGGAACCGUCGGGGCCGCGGAGGAAGAACACGGCGGUGUCGUGGGCGACGGCGGC